UACGUAGGGUCCGAGCGUUGUCCGGAAUUACUGGGCGUAAAGAGCUCGUAGGUGGUUUGUCGCGUUGUUCGUGAAAACUCACAGCUCAACUGUGGGCGUGCGGGCGAUACGGGCAGACUAGAGUACUGCAGGGGAGAAUGGAAUUCCUGGUGUAGCGGUGAAAUGCGCAGAUAUCAGGAAGAACACCCGUGGCUAAGGCGGUUCUCUAGUACGGUACUGACGCUGAGACGCGAAAGCGUGGGGAGCGAACAGG
rnacentral:rRNA from 1 species